rnacentral:rRNA from 1 species
ACGCUCGACACCUACGGGAUGCAGCAGUGGGGAAUAUUGCACAAUGGGGGAAACCCUGAUGCAGCGACGCCGCGUGAGCGAAGAAGUAUUUCGGUAUGUAAAGCUCUAUCAGCAGGGAAGAAACUGACGGUACCUGACUAAGAAGCACCGGCUAAAUACGUGCCAANAGCCGCGGUAAUCUGAGCGGGCUGGCAAGGC